rnacentral:rRNA from 1 species
ACGCUGGCGGCAGGCCUAACACAUGCAGGUCGAGCGGUAGAGAGAAGCUUGCUUCUCUUGAGAGCGGCGGACGGGUGAGUAAUGCCUAGGAAUCUGCCUGGUAGUGGGGGAUAACGUUCGGAAACGGACGCUAAUACCGCAUACGUCCUACGGGAGAAAGCAGGGGACCUUCGGGCCCUGCGCUAUCAGAUGAGCCUAGGUCGGAUUAGCUAGUUGGUGGGGUAAUGGCUCACCAAGGCGACGAUCCGUAACUGGUCUGAGAGGAUGAUCAGUCACACUGGAACUGAGACACGGUCCAGACUCCUACGGGAGGCAGCAGUGGGGAAUAUUGGACAAUGGGCGAAAGCCUGAUCCAGCAAUGCCGCGUGAGUGAAGAAGGCCUUCGGGUUGUAAAGCACUUUAAGUUGGGAGGAAGGGCAGUUACCUAAUACGUGAUUGUUUUGACGUCACCGACAGAAUAAGCACCGGCUAACUCUGUGCCAGCAGCCGCGGUAAUACAGAGGGUGCAAGCGUUAAUCGGAAUUACUGGGCGUAAAGCGCGCGUAGGUGGUUCGUUAAGUUGGAUGUGAAAUCCCCGGGCUCAACCUGGGAACUGCAUUCAAAACUGACGAGCUAGAGUAUGGUAGAGGGUGGUGGAAUUUCCUGUGUAGCGGUGAAAUGCGUAGAUAUAGGAAGGAACACCAGUGGCGAAGGCGUCCACCUGGACUGAUACUGACACUGAGGUGCGAAAGC